rnacentral:rRNA from 1 species
CCUACGGGAGGCAGCAGUGGGGAAUAUUGGGCAAUGGGCGCAAGCCUGACCCAGCAACGCCGCGUGAAGGAAGAAGGCUUACGGGUUGUAAACUUCUUUUGUCAGGGACGAAGCAAGUGACGGUACCUGACGACUAAGCCACGGCUAACUAGGUGCCAGCAGCCCCGGUAAUACGUAGGUGGCAAGCGUUAUCCGGAUUUAUUGGGUGUAAGGGGUGUGUGGGCGGGAAGGCAAGUCAGAUGUGAAAACUAUGGGCUAAACACAUAGCCUGCAUUUGAAACUGUAUUUCUUGAGUGCGGGAGAGGUGAUCGGAAUGCCGGGUGUAGCGGUGAAAUGCGUAGAUAU